AACUUGUGGCAACGGAUCACUUGGGUCUCGCAUCGAUGAAGAAAGCAGCGAAAUGCGAUAAGUAAUGUUAAUCGCAGAAUGCAGCGUAUCAUCGAAUCUUUGAACGCACCUUGCACCCUUUGGUAUUCCGAUGGGUAUGCUCGUUUGAGUGUCAUUGUACUCUCACACUUCUGAUCCUUUGGAUCGGGAGCGGUGGACUUGGGUGUUGCUGCUUGACGGUGGCUCACCUCAAAUGCAUUAGUGCAUCUCCAGGUUGGACAUAGUACGGCGUGAUAAGUAUCUUCGCCGGCACCUCAUGAGAGGGUGGCCAAUCCGGAGCUCUGUGCCUCCAACCGUCUUCGGACAAUGACUGACAACUUGACCUCAAAUCGAGUAGGACUACCCGCUGAACUUAAGCAUAUCAAUAAGCGGAGGCU
rnacentral:misc_RNA from 1 species